UCUUGGCGCUUCUUUCAGUGCCGGUAACCAAAUAAAAUUUGGCUAUAUGCUGGAAUAUCCGAGUAUCCGAGAGUACCGCAAGGUAACAAUCUCUCGGUGCGGCCGCCGUCGCUAAAAGCUAUGGCGAGCCAACGGACAAUCAGCAGGGAAGACUUAGAAAAUGCAAAAUGUAAAUCUCAAAAUGAAAAAUUGUCGUGUCUAGCUCCGUUGGACUCCAUAAUUUUAAUCUCUGACUUUUCCAUUUUUAAUUUCUUUGAACCCUCAGAGACUAUACGCCAAACUAGUCACGAAGCGUGUAGCGCGAAGCGUAUAGCGUAAAAAGAGAAAUCUUCUUGCGUUAUAUGUUACAAGUUAUACGGUUUGCGAUUGGAAGAUAUAGUCCGAACUGCAUGGCGACAUGCAG
rnacentral:ncRNA from 2 species